rnacentral:rRNA from 1 species
UACGACUCUCGACAACGGAUAUCUCGGCUCUCGCAUCGAUGAAGAACGUAGCGAAAUGCGAUACCUGGUGUGAAUUGCAGAAUCCCGUGAACCAUCGAGUCUUUGAAUACAAGUUGCGCCCGAGGCACCCGGUCGAGGGCACGUCUACCUGGGCGUCACGC